rnacentral:snoRNA from 1 species
UAGCAGGCAGUUAUCCCUUUCUUGCCUGCUCUCCAUGGCUCUAGAGGGAGUCAGCCUGCUAUACGAACGUGGGGAAGCUGCUUCCGGGCUCCCUGCACGUGGGUGUCUUCUAUGCCAGCUUUCCAGACAUCA